UGUUGAAGACUGCAUCUCGAGCGUAGAAUCACCUUUCGAAAUGUAUCUCUUCCACAUA
rnacentral:pre_miRNA from 1 species